rnacentral:rRNA from 1 species
CCCUUAGAUGUCCUGGGCCGCACGCGCGCUACACUGAUGCAUUCAACGAGUUUUACCUUGGCCGAGAGGCCUGGGCAAUCUUUUAAACCUGCAUCGUGAUAGGGAUAGAUUAUUGCAAUUAUUAAUCUUGAACGAGGAAUUCCUAGUAAACGCAAAUCAUCAAUUUGCAUUGAUUACGUCCCUGCCCUUUGUACACACCGCCCGUCGCACCUACCGAUUGAAUGGUCCGGUGAAGCCUCGGGAUUGUGGCCAGUUCACUUUAUUGGGAGUUGGCUGUGAGAACUUGUCUAAACCUUAUCAUUUAGAGGAAGGUGAAGGCGUAACA